CGUCUAUAUACGUAUAGCAUAUCAAUAAGCGGAGGAAAAGAAACUAACUAGGAUUCCCUCAGUAACGGCGAGUGAAGCGGGAAGAGCUCAAAUUUGAAAUCUUCAAGGUUCUACCUUGACGAAUUGUAGUUUAAAGAAGUGUUUUCUGUUGGAGUUUUGGUAAAAGUUCUUUGGAAUAGGACAUCAUAGAGGGUGAGAAUCCCGUAUUUGACCAUUAUUUCCAACUUUGUGAUACACUUUCAAAGAGUCGGAUUGUUUGGGAAUGCAGUCCAAAAUGGGUGGUAAAUUUCAUCUAAAGCUAAAUACUGGCGAGAGACCGAUAGCGAACAAGUACCGUGAGGGAAAGAUGAAAAGAACUUUGAAAAGAGAGUUAAACAGUACGUGAAAUUGUCAAAAGGGAAGCGUUUGACACCAGUGUUGUUUUCUCGAAAAUCAAUUAAAAAGAUGUGGAUUUUGUGUUGUAUUGACUUUAUCAGCUUUCUGCACUCUUUUUCCUGUCUUUUUUAAUGCACUUUUCGUUUAACAAGUCAACAUCAAUUUCUUUUGUUGUAAAAGGGUCAUUGGAAGGUGGCUUUCUUUUCGGAGAAAGUGUUUAUAGCCUUUGACUUCUGCAAUCGGAGAGAUUGAGGUCUGCAGCGUAGAUCCUUCGGGGUUAGAUAGCAUUUGUGCUAAGCUAUAGCCUUUCAUAGACAACUUGUUGACUAUGAUCAGUCAUGUAGCUUACUCGCUUAUGUCAUUUUACCUACGCUUAGGAUGUUGACGAUCAGCUGAGCGCG
rnacentral:rRNA from 1 species